rnacentral:rRNA from 4 species
AGACCGAUAGCGAACAAGUAGAGUGAUCGAAAGAUGAAAAGUACUUUGGAAAGAGAGUUAAAAAGCACGUGAAAUUGUUGAAAGGGAAGCGCCUGCAACCAGACUUCGCGGCAGUGUUCCGCCGGUCUUCUGACCGGUUCAUUCUCUGUCGCGAGGCCAUCAUCGUCUGGGCCCGCCGGAUAAGACCUGAGGAAUGUGGCUCCCCCUCGGGGGAGUGUUAUAGCCUCUGGUGAUGCGGCGUGGCUCGGGCGAGGUCCGCGCUUCGGCAAGGAUGAUGGCGUAAUGGUUGUCGGCGGCCCGUCUUGAAACACGGACCAAG